rnacentral:rRNA from 1 species
GUUGAACGCUGGCGGCAUGCCUUACACAUGCAAGUCGAACGGCAGCACGGGUGCUUGCACCUGGUGGCGAGUGGCGAACGGGUGAGUAAUACAUCGGAACGUACCUUAUCGUGGGGGAUAACGCAGCGAAAGUUGCGCUAAUACCGCAUACGCCCUGAGGGGAAAGCGGGGGACCGUAAGGCCUCGCGCGAUUAGAGCGGCCGAUGUCUGAUUAGCUUGUUGGUGAGGUAAAAGCUCACCAAGGCGAUGAUCAGUAGCUGGUCUGAGAGGACGAUCAGCCACACUGGGACUGAGACACGGCCCAGACUCCUACGGGAGGCAGCAGUGGGGAAUUUUGGACAAUGGGGGCAACCCUGAUCCAGCAAUGCCGCGUGAGUGAAGAAGGCCUUCGGGUUGUAAAGCUCUUUUGUCAGGGAAGAAACAGCAGCUCUAACACAGUCUGCGAAUGACGGUACCUGAAGAAUAAGCACCGGCUAACUACGUGCCAGCAGCCGCAGUAA